AGUGAACGCUGGCGGUAGGCCUAACACAUGCAAGUCGAACGGCAGCACAGUAAGAGCUUGCUCUUACGGGUGGCGGGUGGCGGACGGGUGAGGAAUACAUCGGAAUCUACUUUUUCGUGGGGGAUAACGUAGGGAAACUUACGCUAAUACCGCAUACGACCUACGGGUGAAAGCAGGGGAUCUUCGGACCUUGCGCGAUUGAAUGAGCCGAUGUCGGAUUAGCUAGUUGGCGGGGUAAGGGCCCGCCAAGGCGACGAUCCGUAGCUGGUCUGAGAGGAUGAUCAGCCACACUGGAACUGAGACACGGUCCAGACUCCUACGGGAGGCAGCAGUGGGGAAUAUUGGACAAUGGGCGCAAGCCUGAUCCAGCCAUACCGCGUGGGUGAAGAAGGCCUUCGGGUUGUAAAGCCCUUUUGUUGGGAAAGAAAAGCAGCAGGUUAAUACCCCGCUGUUCUGACGGUACCCAAAGAAUAAGCACCGGCUAACUUCGUG
rnacentral:rRNA from 1 species